rnacentral:rRNA from 1 species
UACGAAGGGGACUAGCGUUGUUCGGAAUUACUGGGCGUAAAGCGCACGUAGGCGGAUUUGUAAGUCAGGGGUGAAAUCCCGGGGCUCAACCUCGGAACUGCCUUUGAUACUGCAAGUCUCGAGUCCGAUAGAGGUGGGUGGAAUUCCUAGUGUAGAGGUGAAAUUCGUAGAUAUUAGGAAGAACACCGGUGGCGAAGGCGGCCCACUGGAUCGGUACUGACGCUGAGGUGCGAAAGCGUGGGGAGCGAACAGG